GUACUCACUCCAGCAGCAUAUCUACUGAAAUUAGAAUUAUAAAGAGAAGAUUAGCAUAUCCUCUGCAGAAGAUGAUAUGCAAAAUGUAACAGGGAAAAAAGCACCAU